UGGAUCCAGACUUUGAUCCUGGCUCAGGAUGAACGCUGGCGGCGUGCCUAACACAUGCAAGUCGAACGAAGCACUGUAAACGGAGAUUCGUCAAAGUUUACUUUGACUUAGUGGCGGACGGGUGAGUAAUGCGUGAGCAACCUGCCCUUCAGAGGGGGACAACAGUUGGAAACGACUGCUAAUACCGCAUAACAUAUCCAGGGGGCAUCCCUUGGAUAUCAAAGGAGCAAUCCGCUGAAAGAUGGGCUCACGUCUGAUUAGCUAGUUGGUGAGGUAACGGCUCACCAAGGCUGCGAUCAGUAGCCGGACUGAGAGGUUGAACGGCCACAUUGGGACUGAGAUACGGCCCAGACUCCUACGGGAGGCAGCAGUGGGGAAUAUUGGGCAAUGGGCGAAAGCCUGACCCAGCAACGCCGCGUGAAGGAAGAAGGUCUUCGGAUUGUAAACUUCUUUUAUGAGGGACGAAGGGCGUGACGGUACCUCAUGAAUAAGCCACGGCUAACUACGUGCCAGCAGCCGCGGUAAUACGUAGGUGGCAAGCGUUAUCCGGAUUUACUGGGUGUAAAGGGCGCGUAGGCGGGGAUGCAAGUCAGAUGUGAAAUCUAUGGGCUCAACCCAUAAACUGCAUUUGAAACUGUAUCUCUUGAGUGCUGGAGAGGUAGAUGGAAUUCCUUGUGUAGCGGUGAAAUGCGUAGAUAUAAGGAAGAACACCAGUGGCGAAGGCGAUCUACUGGACAGUAACUGACGCUGAGGCGCGAGAGCGUGGGGAGCAAACAGGAUUAGAUACCCUGGUAGUCCACGCUGUAAACGAUGAAUACUAGGUGUGGGGGGACUGACCCCUUCCGUGCCGCAGUUAACACAAUAAGUAUUCCACCUGGGGAGUACGGCCGCAAGGUUGCAACUCAAAUGAAUUGACGGA
rnacentral:rRNA from 1 species